rnacentral:lncRNA from 1 species
GCUCAUCAGUCCCGGUAUAAAAGCUCCAGCAGCAGCCGGCGUCUCCUUUUAGUUCAGCCCACCUGCGUGCCUCCAUCAGCCUCACUCUUCAUCAUCAUCAUCAUCCUCUUCUUCAUCACCAGGAUGGCUCAGCUGACCCCCGCCGGAGUCAUUUUCUGCGCUCUCUGCUUAAUCACUCAGGUUUUAUCCCAGAGCACGAUCUCCCCGAGCAACUCCACCGCGCUGGCGGGGAACCAGACGGUGAACGGGAACGACACCCUGGCGACCAACGCGAACGCCGCACCGGUGAACGCCACCACCGCUCCGGCGGGAGCCGGCGUCCUGACGCAGGCCAGCGUGCUCCACGUGCUCGUUCCCGUCGCCAUGGCAACCGGCCUCCUGCAGCGCUGGUGUUGAGCGUUCAGCAUCUCCACCUGUAGCUUCGCCAUCACUCCCGCACAAGCGUCUACAAGGUCCGGUCGUUUCACCGGAACGCUCGGGAGAACGCUUUAGCCCUGAAGUAGAAGCGCGAACGGAUGGAUGAUGACAUUCCAAACGGCUUGCGUUCCCACAUCCCAACAUCCCAACAUCCCAUUCCCGGUUUUUUUGUUGCAUUGCAUUGCUGAGCCUGUAAGAUGUUCCAAACGCACAUCUGACAUUGAACGGUUUUAGCUGAACGGCCGGAUUGCGCAAACCGUUCCGAGCCGUUCUAAACUAAACGGGCUCUUUCAUUGGCUUUGGGUUUCGUCACUUGGUGGUUCAUUCCAGUUUCAGCUGGAUUUUCCUCUGUAUUUGCCCACUUUAGUUAUCAAUCAAACUGUUAGUCGUUCACUGGCAUGAGGUGGACACUCUGUAAUAUUGUUUUUCUCUUGCAUAGUUUAUAUUUUGUACAAAUCGAAAUGUUUUAAUGUUUGUAAAAUGAGUACAUGAGAAUAAACAAUGUACAAUUGAACGAAACGCUUUUGGCUCGUUUGAUGGGAGAUUGCAGGAAUACACUUCCACUGGAAGUAAGUCAAAGAUGUAAAUAAGAGUUAAUUUGACAGGAAAUCAGGCCCAAACCGUUUAAUGCAAUGCGUUACUUGCAGUUUCUUUCUAACUCAUUGUGAUAUUUCAGAGUGAAAAUUGCUAUGCUGUUUAAUGCAC